UCGGUUCUUCUCAGUGUCGGAUUUUUGAAUCUGCCCUUUGGGUGGCUCGAGGCAACUCGAUACCUCGGUUUGACCACGCCGGUUGAGACCUUCACUCGGUGUGAGCGGGGCUAUAGUCCUCUCACUACCGUUGGGUGGUGUGCCUCCGAAAUGUGGUUGUAACCAACGCCGUUAGUCUCAGAAUGUAACAGCAGGCAGCAAUGCCAAUGCAAUCAAUUA
rnacentral:misc_RNA from 1 species